CCCGAGUUGUAAUUUGUAGAGGAUACUUUUGAUGCGGUGCCUUCCGAGUUCCCUGGAACGGGACGCCAUAGAGGGUGAGAGCCCCGUCUGGUUGGAUGCCAAAUCUCUGUAAAGUUCCUUCGACGAGUCGAGUAGUUUGGGAAUGCUGCUCUAAAUGGGAGGUAUAUGUCUUCUAAAGCUAAAUACCGGCCAGAGACCGAUAGCGCACAAGUAGAGUGAUCGAAAGAUGAAAAGCACUUUGAAAAGAGAGUUAAAAAGUACGUGAAAUUGUUGAAAGGGAAGCGUUUAUGACCAGACUUGGGCUUGGUUAAUCAUCUGGGGUUCUCCCCAGUGCACUUUUCCAGUCCAGGCCAGCAUCAGUUUUCGCCGGGGGAUAAAGACUUCGGGAAUGUGGCUCUCUUCGGGGAGUGUUAUAGCCCGUUGUGUAAUACCCUGGCGGG
rnacentral:rRNA from 1 species